rnacentral:rRNA from 1 species
UACGUAGGGAGCAAGCGUUGUCCGGAAUCAUUGGGCGUAAAGAGCGCGUAGGCGGCCCUGUAAGUCCGCUCUGAAAGUCAAAGGCUCAACCUUUGAAAGCGGGUGGAUACUGCAGGGCUAGAGUCCGGAAGAGGCGAGUGGAAUUCCUGGUGUAGCGGUGGAAUGCGCAGAUAUCAGGAGGAACACCAACGGCGAAGGCAGCUCGCUGGGACGGUACUGACGCUGAGACGCGAAAGCGUGGGGAGCAAACAGG